rnacentral:rRNA from 1 species
UAAGGAAUAUUGGUCAAUGGACGCAAGUCUGAACCAGCCAUGCCGCGUGAAGGAUGAAGGUCCUCUGGAUUGUAAACUUCUUUUAUCUGGGACGAAAACGGGAUUUUUAUCUCAAUUGACGGUACCAGAGGAAUAAGCACCGGCUAACUCCGUGCCAGCAGCCGCGGUAAUACGGAGGGUGCGAGCGUUACUCGGAAUUACUGGGCGUAAAGGGUGCGCAGGCGGUCUUGCAAGUCAGAUGUGAAAGCCCCGGGCUUAACCUGGGAAUUGCGUUUGAAACUACAAGGCUAGAGUGCAGCAGAGGGGAGUGGAAUUCCAUGUGUAGCAGUGAAAUGCGUAGAGAUGUGGAAGAACACCGAUGGCGAAGGCAGCUCCCUGGGUUGACACUGACGCUCAUGCACGAAAGCGUGGGGAGCAAACA